ACUAGAAGGUGAGAAGGAACAUGUUGUCACUAGCAGGUGUGUAGAUGAUGCUGAUGUCACUAGAAGGUGAGGAGGAGCAUGAUGUUAUUAGCAGGUGUGUAGAUGAUGCUGAUGUCACUUGAAAGUGAGCAGGAGCAUGAUGUCACUAGCAGGUGAGGAGGAGCAUGAUGUUAUUAGCAGGUGUGUAGAUGAUGCUGAUGUCACUAGAAGGUGAGGAGGAGCAUGAUGUUACUAGCAGGUGUGUAGAUGAUGCUGAUGUCAAUAGAAGGUGAGGAGGAGCAUGGUGUUACUAGCAGGUGUGUAGAUGAUGCUGAUGUCAAUAGAAGGUGAGGAGGAGCAUGGUGUUACUAGCAGGUGUGUAAAUAAUGCUGAUGUCACUAGAAGGUGAGGAGGAGCAUGAUGUUUCUAGCAUGUGUGUAGAUGAUUCUGAUGUCACUAGAAGGUGAGGAGGAGCAUGAUGUUACUAGCAGGUGUGUAGAUGAUGCUGAUGUCACUAGAAGGUGAGGAGGAGC